GCUGCGAGAAGGCCCUUCCCUAAGUUCUCCCAGGGCGCUGCCAGAGCCCUGCCGGCUAAGGGAUGGGGAAACAAACAGAUGGGGUCUCGCUCCGUUGCCCAGGCUGGAGUGCAAUGGCACGAUCACGGCUCACUGCAGCCUCGACCUCCCGGAAUUAAGCGAUCUUCUCACCUCCCGAGUAGCUGGGAUUGCAGGCGCGCACCACCUCGCUUGGCUAAUUUUUUAUUUUUUGUAGAGACAUGGUCUUGCUACGUUGCCCAGGCUGGUCCCGAACUCCUGGUCUCAAGUAGUCCUCCCACCUUGGCAUCCCAGAGUGCUGGGAUUAUAGACAUGAGCCACCGCGUCCAGCAAUUAGUCUUUUCUAAACUUCAUAUUGUCUCUACUCCUAUCUACACUUCACCUUUCUUCAGAUCCCUGCCAUCUAUCCUCCAACUCCACCACCAGCUGAUCCGGCACGCUAAAGACCACCAAUGAUUUAAAGGCUGCGAAAUCGUUAAAAUACUACGCUAGCAGGCCCACUAAUGAAUUAGCCUUCUUGUUCACUGACUUCCCAAUACACCUGCUCCAGGAUAUCCCCUGUCAUCCCAAAUGACUCAAGAAUGUGACGCUAUUCCGGAGUGAAGAGUGUUUCUCGGGAUUUCGCGAGCUUUUUUCCUAGAUGCCUCACAGAGCUUGCUGUCCGGCAGUCCAGUUAUGGGUUUGCCAGCACAGUAGUUCAUUGUGAGAAGUGUUUCUAAUGGGUGCUACAGGGCUGCAGAGGCAAGCUUUGGGAAUGCUGUUGGUGCAGCAAGUGCUUCCGGGUGGCGGAUUGCCAUAGCAUAGGGGAAACAACUCCUGGUCUUCCAUUUAAGAGGGUCAUACCUUCACUGUACCUGGGGGAUCUCAAUACUCCAAGUAAAGGAAUCAGCAUGGAAUCAAAUUAUUGAUAAAUGUGAUGCUGCAACCAGAAUGUUGAGCACUGCAUGAUACAGACGAAGUCGAUGUUGUAGGUCAUUAGUAACAUGUGGUAUGGGAGGUUCUGGUUUCUGUAAGUGCAUGGUUUCCAUGGACUUGGAGAUGAUGAUGCCUCUGAGGACAUGUCAUUUAGAGCUGGGCAGACCGCACAGAGAAUUGUGGUACAGAUUGUUGUAACAGUAUGAAGCCCUCUCAUUUGCUGUAUGUACAGCAUGGCCAGUGCUAAUGUGCUCAAUUUCCGUAGGUGGGGCUGUAAUCUCGUAAUUCCCAGUCAAAAGAGGUAGGAAGGGAUGCUGAGGACCCAGGGAUACUGAUGAUUGGGCUGACCCAGAAGUGGCCAUCUUUGUGGAAACCAGGCUGGAGUGCAAUGGUGUGAUCUCAGCUCACUGCAACCUCCACCUCCAGGGUUCAAGCAAUUCUACUGCCUCAGCCUCCCGAGUAGCUGGCAUUACAGGCGCAUGCAACCACGCCCAGCUAAUUUUUUGCAUUUUUAGUAGAGACGGGGUUUCACCGUGUUGGCUAGGCUGGUCUCAAACUCCUGAUCUCAGGUCAUCUGCCUGCCUCAGCCUCCCAAAGUGCUGCAAUCACAGGCAUGAGCCACCUGGCCUGUUUUUUAAAAAGCCUAAGCCUGUUGACCCCAGGCUCCACAAUCUUCAAUUUUCCGAGUCUCAGUUUUUUUUUCAUGAGUAAAAUAGAGGUAAUACCUACCUCACAGAGAUUUUGUGAAGAUUAAAUGAAACAGUGUCUGGACCAUAAGUGCCCAAUAUAAAGGUAAAAAUAUUUUUCUUUUUGCGCCUAAUAUGUAGCAUUCUCUUUGCUCCUUCUCUAUGUAAAUGUUAGAUCACUAUUUUCAAGCACUCCUUAAAUACUGAUAUUUCUCAGGUAAUCAUCUUCAGCUCAGGACUGUAUUUACCCUAUCUUAAUUUCACCUAUGGCCUAUACCCUGAUGAUCCCCAAAGCCCUGUAACCAACCCAGGUACUGAUGAGUUUAGAACUGCCCAGCAGCACA
rnacentral:lncRNA from 10 species